UGGCGGACGGGUGAGUAACGCGUGGAUAACCUGCCGUGUACAGGGGGAUAACACUUAGAAAUAGGUGCUAAUACCGCAUAAGCGCACAACUUCGCAUGAAGGAGUGUGAAAAGCCGAGACGGUACACGAUGGAUCCGCGUCCGAUUAGCCAGUUGGCGGGGUAGAGGCCCACCAAAGCGACGAUCGGUAGCCGGCCUGAGAGGGUGACCGGCCACAUUGGGACUGAGACACGGCCCAAACUCCUACGGGAGGCAGCAG
rnacentral:rRNA from 1 species